rnacentral:lncRNA from 1 species
CGGCGAGGGCGGUCCAAGUUCAGGAUGAGGAACUUGAGCAAAAUCAGAUGUUAUCGGUGUGACGAAUAGAGGCAUCUAGCCAGAGAUUGCUCUUAACUCAGAGAUCGGACGAGGACUACUGUAGCGACGGUGAGUAACGACUCAGAGGGUGAUGCCUUGGAGAUAUCUGAUGAGGUAUCUACUUUUUUCCAGCAAUGAAUUUUAGAUUCUGCAUGUACCUAUCAUGUAUGUUACAGAGAGGAGCAGUGAAGGUACUAUUUAUCUAUCGGAUGGAUCGAGCUAUACGAUCAGAGAUAUCGAGAUAGUCAGUUGGAGGACACAUGAUGAUGCAAUGAGGAGAUUGGGGGAGGUCCGAUACAUACUCGAUUUUAGAUGAAAUCUUAUCUCAUUGAGCAGACUGGAUUUGAGAGGAUGGUAGUUGGUCGAGAAAUCUUGAAAGUGUUGCAUGGCGAUAGGAUUAUUCUGAAGGAGAAAAAGAGGAUGAGAGGACAUUAUUACCUGGUGAGGAGCCCAGUGCGAGAUGGAGCUUCAGGAGCUAGAAGAAGCCCAAAGAAAGGUAGUGCUUCUGAUGGAGAUG